UACGUAGGGGGCAAGCGUUAUCCGGAUUUACUGGGUGUAAAGGGAGCGUAGACGGCGAUGCAAGUCAGAUGUGAAAACCCAUGGCUCAACCAUGGGAUUGCAUUUGAAACUGUGUUGCUAGAGUGCAGGAGAGGUAAGCGGAAUUCCUGGUGUAGCGGUGAAAUGCGUAGAUAUCAGGAGGAACACCGGUGGCGAAGGCGGCUUACUAGACUGUAACUGACGUUGAGGCUCGAAGGCGUGGGUAGCAAACAGGAUUAGAUA
rnacentral:rRNA from 1 species